rnacentral:rRNA from 1 species
CCUACGGGGGGCUGCAGUGAGGAAUUUUCCGCAAUGGGCGCAAGCCUGACGGAGCGACGCCGCGUGAGGGAUGAAGGCUUUCGGGUUGUAAACCUCUUUUGUUUGGGAAAAAGGUCCGCGUGCUCAUACCACGUGGAUUUGAUGGUACUAAGCGAAUAAGCCCCGGCUAACUACGUGCCAGCAGCCGCGGUAAUACGUAGGGGGCGAGCGUUGUCCGGAAUUACUGGGCGUAAAGGGCGUGUAGGCUGUUGGGUAAGUCUGGUGUGAAAUGCUACGGCUCAACCGUGGCACUGCGCUGGAAACUGCCUGACUGGAGUGCAGGAGGGGUCACUGGAAUCCCCGGUGUAACGGUGAAAUGUGUAGAUAUCGGGGGGAACACCUGUGGCGAAGGCGGGUGACUGGCCUGCAACUGACGCUGAGACGCGAAAGCGUGGGGAGCAAACAGGAUUAGAUACCCCUGUAGUC